ensembl:lncRNA
ACUUUGCUUCCUCAGGUAGGUUUCUGUAAAGCACUGAUUAAUUUGGAUAAUGUACGGUAUUAACUGUGCAAUUCUUAUAUGAGUAGUUAUCGAGAUAACAUGGUAUGAGAUGCAGAGUAUGUUGAAAAGACAUCAGAUAUGUUGUCUUUGGGUCACACUGGAAACAGAUUCCCUUUUAUCCUUCUGUUGUGUCAGAUGGCACGAAACAUAACCCUAACCAACACCUCAUAUGUCACCUCUCCCUUUUGAAUAUCAUAACUGACAGAAGUACAUGUUAGUAAAGGUACAAAGCCAAUUUCUGACUGAAUGAAAUAAAAAUGACCUUGAAUGAGUUGACACAGUUAAAGAAAAAUAAUUAAUGAAUCUGAUUGAAUACGUUUAAAGAAUUAAGCCAGAGACUUUAAGCUGGGGCAUUAGAAUGAAUGACCAUUAUCAUUUGCUACUUAAAUAUCAGGAAUUGAAUGCUUGUUUGUUGUUUGCUGUUUGUUUAAUUGGUUGGUUUCUGGCUGUAAAGAGAACAUUGUGCUCAUCCUAAUUGAUUAAGUACCUUGUUUCUCCAUAUUCUUUAAUUUUGGAUUCAAAGCCUGUAUGUAAUCCAUUUGAUGGUUUUAUUUGCUUUUUUCUGUAAUGUAACUGCUGACUAGGAAUUGGUUUACUCUUUCAUGUCUGAAGGCUCUGAUAAAUUGAGGAGCUUAGGCAGACAGCUCUUUUAUCCAAGAGCCCUUACUGGGCUGGUGAUAUUGCUGAAACCUGCCUAGACUCAAAAAAAAAAAAAAAAAAAAAGGCUCAGGAAGGAAUAAGAGUCCUGCAGGGAGGAAGAAACAAGUGAAAUUUUUUUGCAGUGACCUCAAGAAAGAAAAAAAAAUGAGUUUACUCACGCAGAAGUCUGUGCCAAAAUGAGAGAUUGAGAGUAGGCCUGUUCAGCCUUGGCUGAUGAAAGGAUAGUGAACUGAAAAAAUGAUCAAAAGUGACAUCGUGUGUCAACUAAGAAACAUCAAGGAGAGUAUACUGCCGAUCAGUCGUGGAAUUCACUGUCCACCAGGGAGCGGCUCCAUGAAUGUUUGCUGAGUGAUCAUGUAGAAAGUGUGGUAGGUGGUGUGGCAGAUGCAGUGGUAACAUUUGCUGGGCGGAUCUUCCCCUUGCUGUCCUCCUUGACUCUGCUGUUCUCCUUCCUUUGCAUGGGUGGGACCAUGUCAAGCACAGUCUAGGGGAUAUAAUGAUGCUGGAGAUGUAACUCUGGACUUAAAGAAGUCUCAGUCUGACGGAGGAUACAGAAGUAGAGCUGGAAAUGUUUAUCUGAAUAUUUUGUUUUGCUUGAAAGCAGAAUCUGGUAAAAUCAUAGGAAAUCAAUGGGGUUGGAGAGGCCUUAUUACAUUAGUAAAUGAGCUGUGAUUUUUAUUAUCGUCAAAAGUUAUCCGUUCUGAUUUCUUCUAUUUUUAAGUGCCAAUUAGUUAGGAGCUUUAAUAAUAACCAUUCCAAUCAGCGGGUGUAUUUCUCUUUCUGAGAAAGUCAUUUUGUAUCCUGCCUUUGCCUGUCUUAGUCACACAUAUCAACUUAAGGAUUAGACUUACAAAUAUGACAUGAAUAUGGCAAAAAAUAUUCUGUUCUUUGGGAUUAAUAUGUAAUAUUUUUAAGAUCCACAUCGGUUAAAUGAUCUGAGCUUGUGAAAAGACUGUCUCAUCAGCUUUCUGGAGGAUCACAAGUGUACCUAGGGAGUUCAUAGUGUCCUUGGAUGAAAGAGAUGAAAGAGAAAGGAGUUUGUUGUGGGGUUAAAGCAAAGGCAGUUUCAGCUGCGAGCUGACAUCUUGGUGUUUUUUUUUUUUUUCUCCUGUAUGCUUUGAGCGGUGUACUGUUAGAGGGGCCUAUCAGUGCAUUUGGCCUUUUAUGUGUCAAGACACAUCAGCCAGUAGAGGAAUACAGUGUUAUGACUAAUGCUCAUACUCAGUGCUGACUUUUGAUGGUUUUGGGGUUCUGGUCCUGGCAGCCUGCCUGCAUGUUAAUGAAAAGUAGCCCCAGGGCUACUGAUACAUAGGUACAACUCAUGAUAAAGCACUAUCCCUUUGGAAAGCUCUUUCCUGCGUUUUCCUCAUCAGUCAAUCAUUUUGGCCUCGUUGCUGCUGCUAAGUCACUUCAGUCGUGUCUAAUUCUGUGCGACCCCAUAGAUGGCAGCCUACCAGGCUCCCCCAUCCCUGGGAUUCUCCAGGCAAGAACACUGGAGUGGCUUGCCAUUUCCUUCUCCAACGCAUGAAAGUGAAAAGUGAAAGUGAAGUUGCUCAGUCGUGUCCGACUCUUAGCGACCCCAUAGACUGCAGCCCACCAGGCUCCUCCAUCCAUGGGAUUCUCCAGGCAAGAGCACUGGAGUGGGGUGCCAUUGUCUUCUCCUCUCCUUCUUUCUACACCACCUUUAUUUUGCUUCAGAGAAUCAUUCCUCUCUCAAUAGGAACCUGGACGUGGUGCUGAACUUUGAUGGUGUCUAGAGGCAGACUUUUUUGAAUCCUAGUUCCAUCAACACUAAUCCCAUAGCAUUUAUAACCUUGCCCAUCAUCUGUAGUGACCAUACAGUAAGUCUCCUAUGUACGAGCUUUCAAGUUACAAACUUUCAAAGAUGCAGUCUUAUUUUGGGAGGCUCCAAAAUCACUGCAGACAGUGACUACAGCCAUGAAAUUAAAAGAUGCUUGCUCCUUGGAAGGAAAGCUGUGACAAACUUAGCAUAUUGAAAAGCAGAAACAUCACUUUGCUGACAAAGUGCCAUAUAGUCAAAGCUAUGGUUUUUCCAGUAGUCAUAUAUGAAUGUGAGAGUUGAAUCAUGAAGAAUACUGACCGCCAAUGAAUUGAUACUUUCGAAUUGUGGUGCUGGAGAAAACUCUUGAGAGUCCCUUGGACUGCAAGGAGCUCAAACCAGUCAAAGGAAAUCAACCCUGAAUAUUCACUGGAAAGACUGAUGUUGAAGAUGGAAGCUCCUGUAUCUUCGCCAUCUGAUGUGAGGAGUCAACUCACUGAAAAAGACCCUAAUUCUGGGAAAGAUUGAAGGCAAAAGGGAGAAGGGGUUGGCAGAGGAUGAGGUGGGCAGAUAGUAUCACUGGCUCAAUGGACAUGAAUUUAGGCAAACUUUGGGAAAUAAUGGAGGACAGAGGAGCGUGACAUGCUGCAAUCCACAGGGCCUCAAAGAAUCAGCAGGACUCAAAGAAAAGCGACUGAACAACCAAGAUACCAAUGUGCUUGUCAGCCCUUGUAUACCAGCUGUUGUACAGUACUACUGAACUUCUCAAGGUCUGUUCCCAAUCAACUGAGCUCCUUAGGAGCUCCCUGAGUUGUCAUUUUUAUGUGGGCAACCUCAGCUGUUCGUCCAGAGCCGAGAACAGGAUAGAAGCUCAGAGGAUCAAGUGAAAGGGCUGCUGUCCUGUAUAAGCACACAGAUUACUGCCGAAUAGUGAUUAUAAUUAGCCACUGGACAACUGUAUCAGAGCUAGCAGUUCAGUACCAAAUCAAGAAAGAUAAAAGUAAUCGGAGGAUUUGCAAACAAUUAGGAUACUGAAUUUCAGGUAUGUAUUUGAAAGAUUCAUUUCCUUCUUGUAAGUCGUUGCAAUCUCAUUUCACUAGAUACCUUGUAAAGUAUUCUUGAUGAAAUGCUUGCUUCAUGGGAAUCAUUCUUUUCUUUGUAUUUGGGUGUACUUACUUAGAGGCUCUCGAGAGAUUCACUUAAGAUUUUCAAGUUUUCUGCAUUAGAUAUUUUUAAGAAGCACAAUAAAAUCCAGGGAAUAUAUCUUUUGAAGUGGAAAGUCUGAAACAAAAACAAUUUGAUGGUUGUCACAGACAAAGCAACUAGAGCCCUAAAGUAUAAUUCAAGGUUUUUAUAAACUCCAAGUUAUAGGUUACUCUUUGACAAAUAAAAGAUGAGUUCUGAGUCUGGAGGUGGUUUAAUGUGAGAACUUAAGUUGAGGAAAAGAGUGGAGAAUCUGAAGGUGUGGAAUAGCUCACACAUGUAUGCAUUUUUAAUUAUUCAUAUAAAUACACAUGCAAAUAUAGAUUGUUAUGUAGCCAACAAAUAUUUAUCAAAUGCAUUUAAUGUGCCAAACCUAGUCCUUGCCAUUAAUGACUUAUAAUAGAUAAGUAAUUAAAAUAGCUUUGAUAAGUAUUAUGAUCACAGUUGUACCUGCUUAUAGAAGAACUGACUCAUUGGAAAAGAUACUGAUGCUGGGAAAGAUUGAAGGCAGGAGAAGAGAUCGACAGAGGAUGAGAUGGUUGGCAUCACUGAAUCAAUGGAUACAAGUUUGAGCAAACUCUGGGACAUAGUGAAGGACAGAGAAGCCGGGUGUGCUGCAGGUCAUGAGGUCACAAAGAUUCAGACAGGACUGAGCGAAUGAACAACAGCAGCAUAUAGGAAUUUAACAUGUUCAGGUUCUUUCUGCUUCACUUUCAUGGGAGAAAUAUCUGAGAACCAGAUUUUACCUGCAGGUGGGGGUUUCUUCAGUUCCCAGAUGGAAUCCAUGAUUUCCUCUUUUCUCCUGGGUGCCUCCUACAGAUUGUUUUUCCUAUAGUGAAAAAGUCACUUCCAGGCUCCCAUAGAUUCCAUGAGUCCUGAGAUGGCACCCUUUUUCCCCCACCCCAGCCUUAUGUUAAGUAGAUUAAUAACCAGAAACAAUAAUUAAUAACAAUAUCAUAUGGUAUCUUUACUUUAUACCAGCCACUAUGCUGGUAUAGUGCUUUACAGAAGAGUACCAUGGUAUACACAUUUAACUGCAUGUAUUUGCUGCUCCCUCCAGCCUCUCUCAAGAAAAGGAGACAGAAAUAAAAAUGUAAGCUGUAUGGGUGAUGCUGCUAGCAGUUUUUCUCAGUGAGUCCUGACCCCAGAGUGAUGUGUCUUAGGAAGCUUGACACAUUUUCCCUGGCACUUGGCACAAUUUAAACAUCUUGCUGAGGACCCUGUGCAGUUUCUAGGGUACAAAUGAUAUUUUGAUCUCGUGCAAGUUUUCACUUUAUUAACUAACUUUUGAACAUAGCCCUUGAUUUUCACACCCUACGUAUUUGCCUUAUUUCCGUUGAUUCUUCCAGAAUUUCUCUAAGAUAGAGACAAGUUAUGAUCUCUCUUUUAAGGAAAGAUGGAAUUGUGGCUGAGAGGUUAAAGAACUUGUCCAUGUAUCUAGUAAGUGGCAGAGAGAAGAAACACACCCGACAAGUGUCGUUGGUGUGCUCCCUGUGAUACUACCUUCUUGCUGUUAGCAGUUUUUAGGAAACAUGGAGAUAUUUGGUUGGAACCUUCGUGGUGAGAGAAAAUCCAGAAAGGAGGUUCCUGUGGUAUCAUCAUGUCAGGAAAUGAUAUCAGGGAAGCAGUGAGCUCCAUCUUUGUUGUAGAGAAGUUUUGAAAGAACCUUGGAGAGAUCUGAAUGGAUCUUGGGGUGGACAAUUGAAAUACUCUGGCUUGAAUGAAGGGGUGCUUUGCCAGCUGAAGCCAGGAGCCAGAUAAAGUAUAACAAUAUUGAGCCUGCGUCUUUCCCCCGGGGCAAGAAGCCUCCAUCCAGACCCAGAGCUGUUGUCAAGGCUGUUCCAUGCAGCCUGGCUUCCCACCUGGCUGCAGUUUGAGACAACAGGUUCUCAUUAUGCUUUACUCUCUCUCUCUCUUUUGUAAUGUGUUCUUGAAAUUGAAUUUAAUUUGCUUCUGUCGUGGUGUGUGUAGAUUUUUUAAUGACUUCCUGGUGGGUUUUCUCCAAGAUCUUUAACCACAAUGCAAAGGUUCUCAGGGUAAAAUGAGAGAUCCAACCUGAUGAGAAAACAAUAUUUUAUUUUCUUACCUUCAGGUUUAACUCAAAGAUGCUGUGUCUUGACCAAACAAGGUCUUUAUUUCCCCCAGUGAUUUUGCUUUCCCUGCUGGGAUGGUCUAAGUCAAUUACCCUUUUUUCCCUGAGGCUUUGUUAGUCUUCAUUCUCAGAACAAAAAAAUUCAUACUGUUCUCCAACAAAAUUGCCAAUCUUCUUGAAAUGAUUACAUUUUCCAUGGCUAGUGAAAUACAGUCUCCAUGGGAGAGCUGGAGAUGAGGUCAAGAUCCCCUCUAAGUGUUUCUGAGGGAUCUGAUCAGAAAAAUACCUUCCUUCCUUAAAUUCUUGAGGAGGAAGUAGUAAGUUCUUCAUAGUUCUUUAAUUAUGCAUUCAUUUAUCCAUUCAAUAAAUAUACAUUGAGAAUCUAUUGUGGUUCAUGCACAUAAUAGAACAAAGAGACAAAAAUCUUGUCCUCAUUGAAACUGCCACAUCACUGUGGGGGGGAGACAACAAACAAAUGUAAAACAAGAUGUGUUGGAUAUUGGUAACUGCAAAUGAGAAUAUGCAGCCUUCCCAGGUGGUGCUAAUGGUAAAGAACCCACCUGCCGCUGCAGGAAACAGGAGACCCUGGUGUGAUCGCUAGGUUGGGAAGAUUCCCCCCUGGAAAAGGAAAUGAUAGCCCACUUCAAUAUUCUUGUCUGAAGAAUCCCAUGGACAGAGGAGCCCGGGGUCUACAGUCCAUAGGGUUGCAAAGAGUCAGACAUGACUGAAGCGACUUACCAGGGAUGCAGGCAAAGAGAAUACGCACACAGUGAGUGGGAAGCGGAGGGAGUCCAGUGGCAUCUGGGUAUGUGGGUAUCUGGAUACUGGUUGCUAGAAGUCUUAAAUAGAUUUCCAGGAAAAGUUUUCCUCCUAAAAGUCUGAAAGAAAUGAGGGCUCUUUGGAACAACAUUUUCCAGAGAUGAAAACAGUGAGUGUGAAAGGUCUAUUGUGUUUGGAGAUUAGCACGGUGACCGGGGCAGAGUGUCCUGAUCAGGAAGAAGAAUGGGAGGUGAAUUGAGAGGGUUGAUGGGAGCAAGAUGUGGUGGUCCUGGCAAGGUUGCUGGCUCUGCUCCAAGCUGGAUAGAAAGCCUUAGGAAAGUUCUGAGCAGGGUAGAGAUAUCAUCUCGGUGAUGAUGAACACAACAGCUCUUGGUGCUGUGUUGAGGGCUGAAGGGUGGUAAGGCUGGUGGCAAGGAGGUUGUUUAGGAGGUGGUCUGAAUUAUCCAGGCAAGAGUUGGUGUUGGUUUGGAUUAAUAAAAUGAAAAAGUAGUUUCCAUGGCUUGGUUAUUAGAGUGAUUUAAAGUAUUAUCUUUAAAGUUAAAUGAAAAUGUCUCUGUAUUUGAAAUUUACUGUUACAUCUUGACAACUGAAGCUUUUUUAAAUGGAAUUUUUAUAUAGAUUUAAAUGCAUAAAUCAUUAAUUAAGCACCUAUUAAAUAUCCAUCUAAACGAUAGGAGCUGUAUCUUCUCCUGAGCAAGUUAUUUUAAUCUUAUUGGACAAGCUACAAAAACAUAUGAGCAUGUAUUCUGAAAUACAUUAUGCUUAAAUGUUUGUAAGAAACCUAGUAUUUAUAGUGCAUCCAUUAGCUACCAGAGUUUGUGCUGGGCAUUUUACAUAAGGGAAGCACAUUUAACCUUCAAAACAAUUCUGUGAGAGCAGUUUUCAAAAUUUUUGGUUUUAGGACCCCUUGAGACUUUUAAUUCCUUGAGGACCCCCCCAAAUUUUUGUUUGUGUGGGUUUUAUAUAUAUGUGUGUGUACACAUAGAUAUAGAUAUAUAGAUACUUAUUAUAUUCAGAAUUAAAGCAUUUAAACAUUAGUAAUUCACUUGAAGUAACAAUAAACUCAUCAUGUUAACAAAUAGCAUAUAUUUAAUGUUGUUGUGUUGUUUAGUUGCUAAAUUGUGUUUCUGUUGGGACCCCAUGGACUAUAGCCCACCAGGCUCCUCUGUCUGUGGGAUUUCCCAGGCAAGGAUACUGGAGUGGUUUGCCAUUUCCUUUUCCAAGGAAUCUUCCUGACCCAGGGAUUGAACCCAUGUGUCCUGCUUUGGCAGGUAGAUUCUUUACCACUGAGCUACCAGGGAAGCCCUUUUAUGAAAACACCAUAAGUUAUAAAAAUUUAAAAUGCAGUAACAAUAGCACUGAUUUACAUUUUUGCAAGUCUUCUUAAUGUCUAGCUUAAUAGAUGUUUGGAUUCUCGUAUUUGCUUCUGUGUUGAAUCUGGUGUAAUAUAUUGUUGUGGUUGAAAUAUAUGAAGAAAAUCUGACCUUGUACAGAUAUGAAGUGGAAAAUGAGGAAAUGUUUUAAUAACAUUUUCAAAUAGUUGUGGAUAUUGCUCUUUGAUGCUACAGUGAAACUCAACAACUGGAGGUUUCUAGAAAGUUAAUUGUAAUGUAGAAUCUGAGGUAUAUUGUUUACUGUUUUACUUUAUUAAAAGUAACUUUACUUUACUUUAUUUAAAAUCCAUUGAUCGCCUCUCAUGUACCCAUGCAUGAUAUUUUAACAUCAUACAUUGGUCGUUUGGAAAAUAUUGACUCAUAAAUGAUGCAGAUCUCCAAAUGUUGACACACCUCACUAUAUAUUAUUUGUUAAAUGUCACAUGUGUUCCUCUAUCACCAAUCUUCUUAGAAGAGCCUUUCUAUCAUAGGAAGCUAUCAAGAUCACAAAGACGCAAGUUUUCCAAAAAUCUGCAUUUUACUUAAUCAGAUUUUAUCAUUGGUCAUGAAAGUUAUCAGUGGUUUUUCUUGAAGUAACAGGCUUGCUUCUUUGAGUUUCAGAAAGAUGCAUACCACCUAUCCAAGUCACAAUAGCCAUAGUUUAUCUCAGUCUCUGUUUCCAACAAAAAUGGUGCCCAGUGGCAUCAGCGCACAACUGAAACAGUUGUGCACAUGCUUUUCCAUAAACAACCACGCACUCCAGUGAGCAGCGCCAGUGCUUUAUGUGGACCACUCAUUUUGUCACAGGGAAUAUUAAAGAAAAUGAGCACUUAAGAGUCAAGGUUUAAUGCUAUCAAUCACACGUCUUCAUUUAGAGCAUUCUUGUGUGAGACAGACCUUUUCUUUUUCCUUCUCCCAGGGCUGAGUGGAGGAGAAUGCAGUGAGCACUAAGACAGUUUGAAGCUACUACCUAGAUUCACACUGGGGCACGAGCUUUGCUCUCCAUUACUUUUGCACCAUUGGUGCAAAUGCCAGCGCAAUGACAAAGGGAGACAGCAUCUUAUUGUUACUAUAAAAUAUUUGGUCACUGCAGACUCUAAGAGGAUCUGAGAAUUAUGUGCCCAGCCACAGCCCCACUUCAUGGGUCUGUAGGCUGCAGUUUGAGAAUUGCUCCUCUGUGCACUAGGUGUUUUGGAGAAGGCAAUGGCACCCCACUCCAGUACUCUUGCCUGGAAAAUCCCAUGGAUAGAGGAGCCUGGUAGGCUGCAGUCCAUGGGGUCGCUGAGAGUUGGACAUGACUCAGUGACUUCACUUUCACUUUUCACUUUCAUGCAUUGGAGAAGAAAAUGGCAACCCACUCCAGUGUUCUUGCCUGGAGAAUCCCAGGGACGGCGGAGCCUGGUCGGCUGCCGUCUAUGGGGUCGCACAGAGUCAGACAUGACUGAAGCGACUUAGCAGCAGCAGCAGCAGCAGCAGCAAUAGGUGUUUUAGGAGUGGAGAAACUGAGUCUUUGAGAGGCUAGUCAGCUUGUCUCAGGUUGCAUGGCUGGUCAGAAGCAGAAUCAGGAGUCAAGCCAGACCUGUCAGACCUAAAGUAAGUGCCCCCCUGCUCUCCUCCCCAUCCAACCACACACAACGGCAGGCUUUAGCUAGGACCUUAAAGGAAGUGUAAACUUGAUUAUAUACAAGGUUGCAGGGAUCUGGAUGAUAAGAAUAAAAUAAGCUUAACUGUAAGGCCUAAAAUGGGCACAGUUUAUGCAGAGGGAUAAAGAAAAGACUCAGACCAAAGUGGAGAAUCCAUUUGGCCAUACAUGAUAUGGGUAGGGAUGAAGGAUGCAAUGAACCGAUCAAGGACUUGAAUGUCAGUGAGGACACUGAUUUUAAUUUUUUAAAAAAUCUUAAACAGAGCGUAUGUGAUAAAAAUAGCAUUAAACUGGUAUUAGUGGUGGAGGUAUCACCAAAGGAAAGAGAAUCGGGGCAGAGAAAAUCUUGGACGUCAUAUUAAGCAUGCAGUAAUGUCUUAAACCAUGGCAAAAGGGUGAGAAUACUCAGAAAAAUAAAGCAAAGGUAGAACACCCAGAGUACAGGAGUUGGUAAUGAAGGAUACAAAGGGCAAUGAUCCGGUUUACUCCCAGCUUUCAAGUUUGAGGUUCCGAAGAAGACACGGCAUUUCUCAGAGGUUGGUGGUACUGGGGGAGAAUAUGCUGAUGAUUAUGGUGAACAGGCAGUGAUUUCAGUGCAGCCGGCUGAGGAUGUCUUGAUGUCAGCGUGGCCCACUGAAGAUGUUUUGGAAACAGUUCACAGGUGGCCUUGUAUUUUGUUUUAAGGUUGUAAUUGAUAAAGAUUGAUUUCCUGAGAGUGGGUGGCUGAGGGCUUAUCAUAGAGGAUACUUAAUGUUAGGCUAAAAUGAAGAACCACAUUAGGAGACAGAGGAGUUUAAGAGGUAGAUGUACAUUAGUAGCAGCAGCAGUACCUGUAGUCAUCAUGGUAGUAUUAGUUGCGAUCAGUUCAGUCACUUGGUCAUGUCCGACUCUUUGUGACCCCAUGGACUGCAGCGCGCCAGGCCUCCCUGUCCAUCACCAACUCCCAGAGUUUACUCAAACUCAAACUCCAGAAGUUUACUCAUCCAACCAUCUCAUCCUGUGUCGUCCCCUUCUCCUCCUGCCCUCAAUCUUUCCCAGCAUCAGGGUCUUUUCAAAUGAGUUAGUUCUUUGCAUCGGGUGGCCAAAGUAUUGGAGUUUCAGCUUCAGCAUCAGUCCUUCCAAUGAAUAUUCAGGACUGAUUUCCUUUAGGAUGGACUGGUUGGAUCUCUUACUGUCCAAGGGACUCUCAAGAGUCUUCUCCAACACCACAGUUCAAAAGCAUCAAUUCUUUGGUGCUCAGCUUUUUUUAUAGUCCAACUCUCACAUCCAUACGUGACCACUGGAAAAACCAUAGCCUUGACUAGAUGGACCUUUGUUGGCAAAAUAAUGUCUCUGCUUUUUAAUAUGCUGUCUAGGUUUGUCAUAGCUUUUAUUCCAAGGAGUAAGCAUCUUUUGAUAGUGGUAGCUGAUAACUAUUGAGAUCUUACUAUGUGCCAGGCUUGACAUGCAGUAGGUCAUUUAAUUCUGAGAACAGUUUCAUGGGUGAGAACAGGUUUUAGACUCAGUUUAUGAGAUGGAGAAAAACACAGAUUAGAAACAUUAAAUAGUUUAUCCAAGGUCAUAGCUCUAGCACCUUGACUGAGCCAGCCCUGCAUCCUUGCUCUCUGUCUCCAGCACUGCUCCUCCAUCUUAAUGCAGUCUUCGGGAAAUCAAGGAGUUGAGUGUAUUCAAAAUGUGCUGUGUUAAAUUCACAAGUGAAGCUGGGGCUAUGAGAACAGAGGAAGACCGUCACAGUAGGGUUUCAUGUGAAGUCUCAACAGAAAGAUAAUAUUGGAAGCAGGAGGCAAAAAGUAGUGAUUUGUGUCUAAGCACAUGAAGGGCCUUAGCAAAAUGGACUGCUUGUGGGAGAGAUUUGUGAUUAAAAGGAAAGAAAACUAAAAUAGUUGUAAGUUAGUAUGGAUUAAUAACUGAAGUGGUUUAGAAUCUAGGUGAAGGGAGGCUUUAGUUAUUUGAAAGUGCUUAGGAAUAAUGGGUCAGGUGACAGGAAAACAUUUGCAGGUGGCUGUGGCAGGUGACAGAGAAACAGGGGAGAAACAGGUAAGGGGCAGCAGGGUUCAGGGUAGAUGAGCAACUUUGACAUAGAAGGGUGACCUUUCUGAAAUAGCAAGGAACAUGGAGAAUCAUUCUUGUAGAGACUAGACUUUACUAAGAUGAAUAGCAAAGUGGCUGGUAAUCCUAGGCUGGUGUUAUUAGUGAAUUAAGGAAAAAUAGAGGUCAUCUCUUGUUAUGAAGCUAAAAGCAAAGUUGCAGACUCUCAGGGUUGAAGGGGACUUGACUUUGUAUGUCAAUACUUCAGAUGAUCCCACUCUAUUGUAAUUAUUUUAUCAUGUACUUUGAAAAGACCUGCUAACUGAUAAACGUGGCUUUCAUGUCCUUUUCUUUCUUGUCCUUCCUUUGUUUACCAGAAGGAAUCCUACUUGCAGGCAGUGAGUGCUAAGUCACUUCAGUCAUGUCCGACUCUAGGUGGCCCUAUGGACUGUAGCCCACCAGGCUCCUCUGUCCAUGGGAUUUCCCAAGCAAGAAUACUGGAGUGGGUUGCCAUUUCCUUAUUCAAAUUUGCAGGCAGGGAGCCUCCUAAUUGUUUCUGAGAACUAUUGGAUGCCCAGCACCUAGACUAUCGUAUGUGAUACAUAGCAAAGACUCAAGAAUAGUUGUUGCGUGAAUGAAUGAAUUUAGUCUGUCUUAGACAUCAGGAUGCUUACUUUCCCUUGAUUACUCCACUCUCUCACAUUUGUGUAAAACUUUGCAAUUUGUAAGAUGAUUUUUAUUUUUUCAGUCAUUCUAAUGAGGCCGUGACUCAGGAGGACUGUCACUGUACCCAUUAUAUAGAUGUGGAUACUGACUCUCUUAAGUUUAUAGCACAGGGUAGUUGUUCAGAGAUGGAGCUGGUCUAAGCAUUGGCUCUGCCAGUCAUGAGUUUUGUUCCUUUGGUGGGUUUCUUUACCUCUCCUGGGCUUAGUGUUCUCAUAUAUAAAAAGGGGACAUAAAACUAUCUCACAAAGUGAUUGAAAGGAAUAACAUAGUGGCUAUAAGCUGUGUAACACAAAAGUGGAUACAACAUAUGGUCUUGGGGAGAGAGUGCUUCAGAAGGACAUAUUCACAUCUUAGAGCACAGACUCUGGAGCCAAACAGUCUGAGUUUGAACCUUAGCUUUGCUCUUUGCUGCUCUGAGACUCUGGGCAAUUAACUAGACUUUUGGCACCUCAAUUUCCUCAUCUGUAAAAUGUGGGUUAUGGUCAUACCACCUAACUCCCAUGGUUGAUAUAAAGAUGGAGUUAAUAAUUGUGAAAGGCUUAGAACAGUACCUUGCAAAUGUAAGUGCUAAAAGUGUUAAUAAAUGAUAUCUGUUAUAAUUUUUAAAGGGUUAGUGUUAAUUCUGCUUUACCAAGGAUUUAUAAUAUAUCUGUUGUAAUUAUUAAGGUGACAGAAUCAGUGAAUGGGUUGCUAUUUCUUCUUGACCAUCAUUGGUGAAUCACCAGUUAACUCCCCACAUCUAAUUUAUAUUAUUAGUUCUUACUUCAUCCCUAACUAAAUACUUUAAAGGGAUCUAUUAGUUAAUAAACCUGACUUUUGUGUCCGUCUCUGUCUUGUUUUCUCUUUGUUUGCCAGAAGAAGCCCCAGAUGUAGAGUGAUGGGCAGAAAAGGAGAAGAAUCAAGGAUUUUAAUAUUCUGAUGAUUCUAUCAUCUGGUCUGUCCUUAUAAAAGAUACCUUAAAAUGAAGCUUUCUCUUAAAUACCAAAUCUUUAGACUCCUUCUCCACCUGCCCAGAAUUCUUAAUACUAAGAAAUGUACUAUGGAGAUAUAUUGCUCCUAUAUCAAAAUAAAAAAAAUAAAAGUGAUUUUGGAGUAGUCAUGUUAAAAUGUCCUCUUGAAAUGCUCUCAAGAUGAUGUCUUUUUGUAGGUGAACCUUGUUCAUCUCUGCUGGUUUUGCUCAGAGGUUACUGUACUUGAUUAUUAUUUUGGCUUAUCACUAUCAGCAGAAUGAAUAGAGUCCAUUUUCACAAUUGUUGCUUUCAAAGCAAAUUACUUGGGAUGAAAAUCUUUGCAGGGUCAGAAAAUAGAUAAAUAUUUUCAACAGGGAUAAAGGUGGGCAUGGAGUGUAUUGCAUCAUUGUUUUAGCUUUGUAACUUAUGCAGAGAGAUUUAUGAAGAAAAGUUUUAUAGUUAGGAAGAAGACUCAACAGAGGCAUUUGCUGUUAACUCUCCCUACGUGGUAUGACGGGCUGUUUGUGCUAAUCAGGGGGACAUCCCCCUUAAUAUGUGAGGCCCUGCUUUACAGAAUUAUAACAUUUUACAGCAAAAAUAUUUUAAUGUAAUUAUUCUCCCCUGUAUUGAUAAGAUGUCUAUUGUUCAAGACCACUGGUGAAAUUGCAGGGCCCUGCAUGUAUACCCAGAGUAUGGUCCAGGAAAUCUAGAGCCUGCUUCCAUGUCUUUAGGAUGUGCUGCCUCUCUGCCAAAGCCCUUAUUUAUUCAGAAAACCAUUUUAGGGACUGUGAUAUGUCAGACCUUGUGCCAGGCAAUGAGAUGAUAAGAAAUACGUGGAUGGGUGUAGCUGCCUGGGGAUCUGGGUUAAUGAACUAACAGUGGUUAAAAUGAAUGUCAGUGCCAUAAACAAAAUGCUGCAGGACCACAAGCAAAGAAGGUAAAAGGAAGAGGAACUGCUGUGUUCUGAGCCUCUGCUGUGCACCAGGCAUUAUACUAUGUAGUGGGGGGCUGAGAGGGCAAACAGGAAAGUAGGGAAUUGAGCCUUUGGUAGGUAGAUGAGUUAUGAUGGAAAUUUUACCCCUGCAAGUAAACAUGUUCAAAGAAUGGCUGGCUGAUCAGGGCAUAAAUUUGUCAAGGGAGGGAUAAUGGCAAAGGACUGGAAAGGAAGCUGAAAAGAGUUUGGUACCUGUGAUGCUUGGAAGUGGGAACCACCCAAGUCUUAGCCACAGAAGCACCAGAUCAUUGGAUUUACCAUGCUGAAACUCUGAAACAUGAAGGAUGAAUUGGAGAAGAGAAACAGGAGAGUCAGAGUUCUCUUAGGAGGAAAGAACAGUUGCCAAAGCAAGUGCUAUUAAGAGCUGACAGUUGUGUUUAAGGGGAGAAGAAGCAAGUGGACAGUUGAUUGAAGCAAUGGGAGUUGAUAGCCCCUCAGGAAGAGGGAGGGCCUUCUGCCUUUUCUGACCCAUAACUCUGUGCAUGUGAUGAUGUAGCUACUUAUGAAAGAUGAGGCUGAGGAAGAAGGGAAGUUAAUGAGUUACUGUUUCCUGGCAGGGUAGGAAGCUGCAGCCUUAGUUUCCAUCUCUACAAGGAGAAUGAGAACAUCUCCAGUCAGAUCAAAUAAGAUAAUUUAUAUGAAACUGCAGCACAAUGCUCACGACAUUGCAAACAUACACAUAGAAAACUUUAUCUAUUGGCACCUUAAAAAUCCUGCCCCACAUUUAAUCGUAUUUUUAAUGCUACGAAGUUAAUUUUAAAAGUCCAGUAACACCACUGUUAAAAUAGAGAGGCAGCCAACAGACAGAUGACUGAAUAGAAUUCUUUCCCAGCAUUGUAGAUGAAAGUUAAAGGAGGCUAUGUGUUUGUAAGGAAAUGGUUAUGUACCUCAUGUACAUUUCUGUUGCCAAUUAUUGAGUAGUUUGGCUAUCUUCCUGUUUGUCCUAAAAAUUUUAUUAAGUACUUCUUUGCGUACCAUGGAACGCCAGAUGCUAUACUGAGAGAAUUAACUGCCAUAACUAUAUAAUAUUUUUUCCUGGUCUGUUAGUGAACUGUUAUUAAUGUUAAAAUCAUUGCUUGUCUGGUAUGGGCAAGAUUUGGGUUUAUAAUAUCAUCUAGGAAAAUGUUGUGACAACCCACUCCAGUAUUCUUGCCUGGAGAAUCCCCAUGGACAGAGGAGCCUGGCAGGCUACAGUCCUUGGGGUCGCAAAAAGUUGGGCACAACUGUGACUAAGCAUACGCACACACAACAAAAUGUUGAGAACCAACAUUUGUUGUUAUUUGAAAUGUUCUUAUAAUUGGAGCAACAAAUCUAUAUCAGAACUUUAUGGAUAAAAAAAAAUCUGUUUUGGAAAGGACUUGGACAUUUUUUUUUCAUACCAAGUAGAUAUCCCCCGUACAGAAGCCAGUUUCUGGGACAAUCUCCAAGAUUGCAGCUUCUCAGAGCCUGUCCUUACGCAGGGCAGGGUGACGGUGAUGAUGCACUGAAUAUUCCUUCAGAUGCCGGAGUGAAGGCCACAGUGCCUGGAGGGAAUUUUCUGUGGUUUCAGCCAUCUGAGACUGAGUUCCCCCUCUCCAGGAGAAUUCUAAGCCUCACUUGGUAGAUGUUCAAGGCAGUUACCACAAUUCUAGUGUGCCUCAGUUAGCCAAAAUUUCCAUUAGCAGUUUUGCUGCCCCAUGGAGGAAUGCUAAUGCUUACCCUCUAUACCUUUGGGACUUCUCUCUCAACACCCCACAUUGCCUGGGUAGUCAGGAUUUCAUCAAAAUGAAAAUUAGAGUGGUAUAAUGGCAAAAAAUUCUUUAAGAGUCAUAAAACAUGAAUUCUAAUGAGACUCAUUAGCUGUGUGACCUUGGCAAGGCAAACCCCUCUGAGUCUCAGUUUUAUUACCUCUACAGGGUAGAUAAUGAUGCCCAGUGCUCAAGGUUGUUGGGAAAUUUUAAUGAGAUUACUAUAUGGAGGAGCUCAUAGAAACAUCCUGGUACACGUAGUUGCUCAAGAAAUAUUGAUCCACAGAGAGUUAAAAAUUCUUAUCAAAAGAUUUGCAUGUUAGAAAACUGAGGUGAAAAUCUUUCCUGAGUCCGCUAUGUGAUGAAUGUCAGAUUUCUUUGGAAAGAAGCCUGAAUUCAGAGUUAACACAUCGUUUGAGUUGGAGACUUCUAAAUAUUCAUUCACAGUUGUCCUUUGGGGCUUAAGAAUCUUCACUUUGCAAAAUGCCAUGCUAGUGAGGCAAAAAUGCCUUAUUAUGGCAACAAGUUCAGUAGUGGAAAUACCUUGCUGAUUUUUGGCAGUUUAUCCAUCAAUAAAUGUUCUUUAAAAUGCACAUGCAGAAGAGUUAGAGCAGCUGCCAUUUUUGAGAGGCUUUUCUCCUCUAGGCACCGUGCUAAACUCUUUACAUACAACGUGGACUUGUUCCUCUCUGCAACACUGUGAGAUGGAUUUUCCUCUCCCAGUUUCACGGAUAAGGAACUUGAGACUCAGAGAGACUGAGUAAAUUACUCAAAGUGAGACAGAUAAGAGAAAUAAAACUUAAAAUCAGGGUGUGUGAUUCUUUUCUGCCUGUUGAGCCUCUGCCUCAUAUCCACAGCUAUAGAGAAACAUAUCCACAGGGACAGGGGAUGUCCAGCCUGGGAUUUCAGCCUCUUAGGUUAUAGAUGCCAUCAGGGCCAGGGUAACAGCUGAAUGGAGCCAGAUGCUUGUAAGGGGUUUGUGACAGAUGACUGAAAGGAAGUCAUUAGGUUGGUGAUGACUCCCAGGACCUCAUGGAUGUUGGGUACUUGCUCGGCUGAGGGGCACUUACUUGGAUGAGAAGAUGAGAGGUAUUGAGUCCUGCUGCCACUCUGCUCACUGGGCUGGACCACCUGCAGGGCUGUGGCAGGGAGAGGAGCCUUUUUCUAAUUUGCACAGAGGCACUAUGGACUGGCCGCAGCCCGAUCCUCCCCCAUUUCACAGCCAUGCCUCCCAGUGCCCUGUCGGCGCAAAGAACCACAAGGGGCAGGAGCAAAGAACGUCGAAGAGAAAGCAUAGACCCAUUCCUUAGCAAGUGGAGUUCAAAGGAAGGUCACAAUCAAACAAAAUAUUUAGGAAAGAGGAAUCAAAGGCAAUUAGAUGUCUUUGAGGAAUAAAAACCCAACAAGUGAAUAUUGACCUACUGUUUGAAAGGCCCAUGAAAAACUAGGGGAAAAUUGCCCCUUACAGUAGAAACAUACUUAGAUAUCCAGUAAGUAGCCACCAGCAUAAGAGAAAAUGUAAAUAUUAAUGAAGUGACAGGGCAAGACAUUUUAAAAGGAGCUUUUUUCUCUGAGUAUCUUCUGUAGAGGGGAAUAAAAUCUUUAAACUUUAAAGGGAUGUAUUUUUUUUCUACUGUAUACUGGAAUUUUAUAAAGCACUGCCUCCUGUCAGACUCUUUACAAUGGACUUUAUAUUCUUUUGGCGAGAAGCAUUUGAGAAUCUAUUAAAGCAGGUCAGGCCUAAGGUGUUAUGAAUUUAUGAUAGCAAAGGAAGAAGAAAAAGAAAGAGACAAACUGAGACAAUAGAAGAUGAGCUAAAAAGACUGCCUUAUUUUAUGACAUGAUGAAACCAUCCAGGAAAAAAUGGAAGUGUAGUGAGCUGAUGAAGCUGUGGUUUGGGUCCUCUCAAUGAUUGUAAAGCCUGGACUUGUACAUGAAGAGUUAUUUAAACGGAAAUGUGAAUUCAUGUUUUGGCUUCUAAUGCUUGUUCCAAAUAAUCUACCCGUGGGUUAUUUUUGACUUUUUAAAAAUAAUUUCUUAAGAAAAUAGUCUAGAUAAUUAGCUAAGAGAAUCUUUAUUUCUAUGUCUAUGUCUCUGUCUCUUUGAGAAGUAUUAAUACUUCUGUAUCUUGAACUUUGUUCUGGCUGCCAUAUUAAAUAUUUUUAACCAUAGGAUUGUCCAGAAAUCAGUUUGUAGGGUAAAUGCACUAUUUCCCUGUAUUCACUGACUAAAUAGAAAACCCAAGAUUUUUGAGCUUUAGAAAAACAUUGUUCAAGCAGACAUGUUAAAUGACAACAAUUAUAUGAUAAUUUAAGCCUGAUUUCUUCUUGGGGUUGUGAGAUCAGAUGGCAUUAUAAAUAUGAAAUUUUAGAGGUGGGAGAGACCAUUUGCUUCUAUACUAUAAAUAUGGUACAAAUAUGAGGUACUCUUAGGUAUCUUCCUCAAUAUAACAUGGCCAUAAGUUGGCUUAAAGCUCAAAUUCAGAAAACGAAGAUCAUGGCAUCUGGUCCCAUCACUUCAUGGGAAAUAGAUGGGGAAAAAGUGGAAACAGUGUCAGACUUUAUUUUUUGGGGCUCCAAAAUCACUGCAGAUGGUGACUGCAGCCAUGAAAUUAAAAGAUGCUUACUCCUUGGAAGAAAAGUUAUGACCAACCUAGAUGGUACAUUCAAAAGCAGAGACAUUACUUUGCGGACUAAGGUCCGUCUAGUCAAGGCUAUGGUUUUUCCUGUGGUCAUGUAUGGAUGUGAGAGUUGGACUGUGAAGAAGGAUGAGCGCCGAAGAAUUGAGGCUUUUGAAGUGUGGUGUUGGAGAAGACUCUUGAGAGUCCCUUGGCCUGCAAGGAGGUCCAGCCAGUCCAUUCUGAAGGAGAUCAGCCCUGGGAUUUCUUUGGAAGAAAUGGUGCUAAAACUGAAACUCCAGUACUUUGGCCACCUCAUGUGAAGAGUUGACUCAUUGGAAAAGACUAUGAUGCUGGGAGGGAUUGGGGGCAGGAGGAGAAGUGAAUGACCGAGGAUGAGACGGCUGGAUGGCAUCACGGACUCGAUGGACGUGAGUCUGAGUGAACUCCGGGAGUUGGUGAUGGACAGGGAGGCCUGGCAUGCUGUGAUUCAUGGGGUCGCAAAGAGUCAGACACGACUGAGCGACUGAACUGAACUGAUGCUUCUACAUAUUUGAAGGUUAAAAUAGUAAGUGGUAAAUGGUAAAUGGGCCAGGGCUCAUUGAGACAUGCAAAAAUCUACACUUCUUUUUGAGCUCUAUUCUUUGGGCAUUUUUUGGUAGCAGUUCUUUUGUAAAACUUGCACUGGAAGAUGAGUGAAAACAGGUAAACUACCUAAUAAUUUAAGUCCCUAUGGAGGAAGUAAAAACCAAAUUCUUCCAGCUAAAUAUUUGGUUAAUUAAUAACGAACUAAAAACUCUUUCUUUUUCAAUUACUCCCCAUUACCCUCCUCCUCCCAUCUCCUGGCAACCCCUAAUCUACUUUAUAGAAAUUUUUACUGUUCUAGGCAUUUUGUAUAAAUGAAGUCAUACAAUGUGAGGUCUUUUGUAACUAGCUUCUUCCACUUAGCGUGGUGUUUUCAAGUUUCAUAUGUAGUUCAAUUCAGUCGCUAAGUUGUGUUGCACUCUUUGCGACCCCAUGGACUGCAGCAUGCCAGGCUUUCCUCUCCAUCACCAACUCUCGGAGCUUCCUCAAACUCAUGUCCAUCCAGUCAGUGAUGCCAUCCAAUCAUGUCAUCUUCUGUCGUCCCCUUCUACUCCUGUCUUCAAGCUUUUCCAGCAGCAAGGUCUUUUCCAAUGAGUUAGUUCUUUGCAUCAGGUAGACAAAGUAUUGGAGUUUCAGCUUCAGCAUUAGUCCUUCCAGUGAAUAUUCAGGACUGAUUUCUUUUAGGAUUGACUGAUUUGAUCUCCUUGCGCUCCAAGGGACUCUCAAGAGCCUUCGCCAACCACUUUUUAUUUUUACAUUCAUAGUUGAUUGACAUUUGAGUUGUUUAUUGCUUUGAUUACUGUUAAUAAUAAUAGUGUUGUGAACAUUUGUAUGCAAGCUUUCAUGUGGACGUAUGUUUUCAUUUCCUAGGAGUUUAGUUGCAGAGUCACAUGAUAACUCUAUGUUCAGCACUGUUUUCCAAAGUGCCUGCACCAUUUUAUAUGCAGUAUAGAGUCCUAUUCUCCAUAUCCUUGCCAGCACUUAUUAUCAUCUGUCUUUUGAAUUACAGCCAUCUUAGUGCAUAUGAAUUGGGAUCUUGGGGUUUUGUUUGCAUUUCUCUGUUGGCCAGUGUUGAACAUAUUCUGUAUGUUUACUGGUCAUUGAAUGAAUUUUACAUUUUUAGAACUUGGUGAAAUAUCAGUGGUUCUUAGGAAUACCUUUGUAGUUUGUUAAGACUUACUGAAAAAAUGAACAGAAAGAUUCAGGAAGAGAAAUCGAGGGGGUGAAAUUCUGGUAGAGAUGUAAAAGAGGGAUAUUAAUGCAUGAAAAGUCAAGAAGGAUGGGAAAAAGCUAUGUUUUUUUCUCUACAAAGUAUCUACUUGCAAGUAAAACCUGACAAACAAUGAAGUAAACAUUUGAGCUUUAUUUUUCUCUUAUUAGGGACAUUAUGUAGCGACGUGGAUGGUGACUGGCACUGGUUUAGCUGCUUGUCAGAGUCACCCGAUGGUUGCGACACUCCCAGACACUACAUGUAGUUUCAAAGUAGAAGAAAGAAUCAGAGUGAGAGACUGUCCUAGUUGGAUGUAUUUCACUUUUAUUUGUAAAGUAAAGACUUUCCCCAGAACCCUAGAUACUUUUACUCACAGCUUGCUAGCUACAGGUAUUGUAUAUGAUCACAUGAAUUCUCCAGGAAAAGAAAGGCUAUAUGUGGAUUUAAUAGUUAAUAAAAGUUGAUACAAAGACAUGGUAUGAAAUAGAAGCCUUUUGAGACCCUUGCUAAGACAGUAUUUCUUUUUAAAAACUUCAUUAAUGUAUAAUUGAUACAGUAAGAUGCAUGUAUUUAAAGUACAUAAUUUGACAUAUAUCUAUAUUCACCCAUGAACAAUCACCACAAUUGAGAUAAUAAGCAUAUGUAACUUCCCCUUUUUUACUUGAUCAGUAUACUAGGGAAUUUUUAGUUUUAUUAAUACUUAUGUUCUUAACAAACCAGUUCUGAUUUUAUCUAUAUUUUUUCUUUGUUCUGCUUUAUUAAUUUCUGCCCUUUUAAAAUUUAUUUUCUUAUUCUUUUCUUUUGUUUACUUUGGAUAUUAUUUGCUCUUAAUUUCUCUAAUUAAUUAUCAUGGAAUCUGAGGGUUGACUUUUAAGACCUGUCUUGUUUGCUAAUAUAGAUGUUUAGUUUUAGAUUUCCCUCUCAGUGUUAUUUUUAGAUGCAGCCCACAAAUUUUGAUAUGUUUUCAUUUUCAUCCAGUUAAAACUACUUUUUAAAU